UCGUCGGCCAAUAAAAUAUCAUCUUGGUGUCCAUAGUUUGAUAGAAAACAUUAUAGAACUUAUAGACAGAUUUUAUUCUAACCGAAUUGUCACCAUCUCUUUUCUAUGUAAUUAAACAAAUAAUCUUUUUGUUAUAAACUAAAGCAAAAGACAAGAACAAUAGAACAAGAACAAUAGCAAUAGAGAGAAGAGUAGAGAGAGUUCUUCUUAUUGAGUUGAGAGG
rnacentral:lncRNA from 1 species